GACUUUAUUGGGCACCUACAAGAUGGCCAAGUGCUGUCCCAUGGAUGGGAACUAUGCAACAAAGAAAGCAGUCUACCCUCCCUGCCCUCAAAGAGCUUAUGUUACAGGACGAGAGAUGGAAAAGACACAAGACCCAACUAAGCCAAGAAAUUGGCCUUCUUAUCCCUUCAAGGCUGAAUAAAGGCACUGUGAAAAUACACUCAAAGUCAAAUGCAAGAACUUCACACAAUAGAAAACUCCAUCUGUCUGUCUUCAAAACUAAGUUAAACAUAUAUUUAUUUCAAAUAUUGGAUGCUGUAGAAUUUUGACAUUCUGUGUGUGCACAUUAAAAUUCUAUGUGUAGAUA